AACGAACGCUGGCGGCAUGCCUAACACAUGCAAGUCGAACGAGACCUUCGGGUCUAGUGGCGCACGGGUGCGUAACGCGUGGGAACCUGCCUUUAGGUUCGGAAUAACUCAGAGAAAUUUGAGCUAAUACCGGAUGAUGUCUUCGGACCAAAGAUUUAUCGCCUUUAGAUGGGCCCGCGUUGGAUUAGCUAGUUGGUGGGGUAAAGGCCUACCAAGGCGACGAUCCAUAGCUGGUCUGAGAGGAUGAUCAGCCACACUGGGACUGAGACACGGCCCAGACUCCUACGGGAGGCAGCAGUGGGGAAUAUAGGACAACGGGCGAAAGCCUGAUCCAGCAAUGCCGCGUGAGUGAUGAAGGCCUUAGGGUUGUAAAGCUCUUUUACCCGAGAUGAUAAUGACAGUAUCGGGAGAAUAAGCACCGGCUAACUCCGUG
rnacentral:rRNA from 1 species